AAGUUAAACGGCCGCGGUACCCUAACCGUGCGAAGGUAGCGCAAUCACUUGUUCUUUAAAUGAGGACUAGUAUGAACGGCAUCACGAGGGUUACACUGUCUCCCCCUUCUAAUCAGUGAAACUGACCCCCCCGUGAAGAGGCGGGGAUAAAACUAUAAGACGAGAAGACCCCAUGGAGCUUUAAACUCAGUUUCAAUUGCCCUUUCACACACCAUUUAAACUGGGCAAAUAUGAUUUCUAGUUUUCGGUUGGGGUGACCGCGGAGCAAAACAAAACCUCCACGAUGAAAGAGCCAACCCUCUAAUCAAAGAGCAACAACUCAAAGAAUCAAUAAAUUGACAUUAUUUGAUCCAAUUAUUUUGAUCAACGAACCAAGUUACCCUGGGGAUAACAGCGCAAUCCACUUCAAGAGCUCCUAUCGACAAGUGGGUUUACGACCUCGAUGUUGGAUCAGGGUAUCCCAGUGGUGCAGCCGCU
rnacentral:rRNA from 1 species